GAUGAACGCUGACAGAAUGCUUAACACAUGCAAGUCGAUGGGGAAGUGGUGCUUGCACCAUGGCAACCAUGGCGGACGGGUGAGUAACGCGUAAGGGACUUACCUGCAGGACUGGGAUAACAGGGGGAAACUCCUGACAAGACCGGAUAAUGUCAUGGAGCUGCAUGGCUUUAUGAUGAAAGGAGACGCCUGCGGAGAGCCUUGCGUCCUAUUAGCUAGUUGGUGAGGUAAUGGCUCACCAAGGCGAAGAUAGGUAGCCGGCCUGAGAGGGUGGACGGCCACAAGGGGACUGAGAUACGGCCCUGACUCCUACGGGAGGCAGCAGUGGGGAAUAUUGGACAAUGGGGGCAACCCUGAUCCAGCAAUUCUGUGUGCACGAAGAAGGUUUUCGGAGUGUAAAGUGCUUUCAGCAGGGAAGAAGUAAGUGACGGUACCUGCAGAAGAAGCGACGGCUAAAUACGUG
rnacentral:rRNA from 1 species